rnacentral:rRNA from 1 species
UACGAAGGGGGCUAGCGUUGUUCGGAAUUACUGGGCGUAAAGCGCACGUAGGCGGAUACUUAAGUCAGGGGUGAAAUCCCGGGGCUCAACCCCGGAAUAGCCUUUGAGACUGCAUCGCUUGAACAUCGGAGAGGUAAGUGGAAUUCCGAGUGUAGAGGUGAAAUUCGUAGAUAUUCGGAAGAACACCAGUGGCGAAGGCGACUUACUGGACGAUUGUUGACGCUGAGGUGCGAAAGCGUGGGGAGCAAACAGG